rnacentral:rRNA from 1 species
UACAGAGGGGCGAGCGUUGUUCGGAAUUACUGGGCGUAAAGGCGCGUAGGCGGCCAACUAAGUCGGACGUGAAAUCCCAGGCUCAACUUGGGAACUGCGUCCGAUACUGGAUGGCUAGAAUCCGGGAGAGGGAUGCGGAAUUCCAGGUGUAGCGGUGAAAUGCGUAGAUAUCAGGAGGAACACCGGUGGCGAAGGCGGUUCUCUGGGAAUGACCUGACG